GCAUCUGGGAGGGUGGUCAUAGGUUAACCUUAGUGUUGCUCAGGCAGCAGGAGAGUGUGCAUGUGUGCAGGGUAGGCCUGCAUCUGGGGGUCAUAGGUCAACUUUAGAAAGUGUUCCUCAGAAGCU
ensembl:miRNA Mir6360 microRNA 6360